rnacentral:rRNA from 1 species
UCCGAUUAGGUGAACCAGCGGAGGGAUCAUUACCGAGUUUACAACUCCCAAACCCCUGUGAACAUACCUUAAUGUUGCCUCGGCGGAUCAGCCCGCGCCCCGUAAAACGGGACGGCCCGCCAGAGGACCCAAACUCUAAUGUUUCUUAUUGUAACUUCUGAGUAAAACAAACAAAUAAAUCAAAACUUUCAACAACGGAUCUCUUGGUUCUGGCAUCGAUGAAGAACGCAGCGAAAUGCGAUAAGUAAUGUGAAUUGCAGAAUUCAGUGAAUCAUCGAAUCUUUGAACGCACAUUGCGCCCUCUGGUAUUCCGGGGGGCAUGCCUGUUCGAGCGUCAUUAUAACCACUCAAGCUCUCGCUUGGUAUUGGGGUUCGCGGUUUCGCGGCCCCUAAAAUCAGUGGCGGUGCCUAUCGGCUCUACGCGUAGUAAUACUUCCCGCGAUUGAGUCCGGUAGGUCUACUUGCCAGCAACCCCUAAUUUUUUAAGGUUGACCUCGGAUCAGGUAGGGAUACCCGCUGAACUUAAGCAUAUCAAUAAGCGAAGGAA